CAAACACAAAGUUUGUGCACUUCUCCAAGUCCUUCGCCAUCAAUUCCCCUCCAAUCUUUAGAGAGAGCAAAAAUGAUCCUCUGCCUAAACAUCUUAUCCAUACUAGCAGUCCUCAGAGGUGCCCGUUCUCAGGCCCAGUUGGUGGAGUCUGGAGGGGACUUGAGAAGACCAGGAGAGUCCCUCCGUCUCUCCUGCCAAGCCUCUGGAUUCACAUUCAGCCGCUAUUCCAUGAGCUGGGUGAAACAGUCUCCUGGUAAAGGACUGGAAUGGGUGUUGUACACAACCACCAGUUCUGGUACUAUUCACUACAAUGACAAAGUGAAGGGCCGCUUCACCAUCUCCAGGGACAAUGCCAAAAGCCAGCUGUAUCUGCAAAUGAACAGCCUCAAAGCUGAUGACACGGCAAUUUAUUACUGUGCUACAUACACAAUGAGAGGAAGUGAAUCUGUAGCAAAGCAAAAACUUCCCAAUUUAAAUAGCAGAGAGAAUUUAGAAUUCUAA